CAGUGCUAAAUCUUUCACAAAUUUUACCGUAGACUUCCUAUUCAUAAGUGUCAUCUUCCUGAGGAAGAGUCAAAUUUUACCGUAGACUUCCUAUGCACGAUUCCAGCAAUAAAGGUCUUUUACUCCUAAACCUCCUUGAUCCGUUGUGAGUGUUACCUUCACCCAUGCUACUCUAGCGGACUGAUGUGCUUCAGCAGUCCCAUUCCAUAGGAAUAUACCGCAGAGAGAGUUGAUCCUUUUGUACAAAUGCGUAGAUACAUUAAAUAUUGUUAUAAAUA
rnacentral:lncRNA from 1 species